rnacentral:tRNA from 6 species
GGUCCCAUCGUCUAGCGGUUAGGACGCUGGCCUCUCACGCCGGAAACCGGGGUUCGAUUCCCCGUGGGAUCACCA